GUUGCUAGCAGCUCGACAUAUAUAGAUUUGGGUUACGUUCCGAGAGGGUACAUAGCAAACAGAGAGUGAAGUCUCAAACAAAUGGAGGCAACAAUGCCGCUGAAGUUGAAAGAUAAAUGACCACCGUGCUUCUAAAAGAGCUGAAGGCCAUCAAACGGCAAAAGAAAAGGAAACAAUUCUAAUAGAUUAAUUAGAUUACAUUUGUUAACUUAUUUGAACGCCAAUAGCUUCAUGUUGCCAAGACACAGACCCUGCUGUGCUGUUAACAAAAUGUUUUAAUCUGUUUUCCUUUUGCGACCAAGUACUGCUCCACAGGGUAGUGCCGUGGAGGGGCGAAGGCAGCGAUUUGGGCUCCAAACCAUUCAAGUUUGAAAAGAAAGGGUGCUUUGAGGCACCAUUUUACGACUUUGCCACGGGCGCAAAUAUUCCUUUGAACGGCCACUAACCAAAUAGUAUAACUAACAUGAGCAGCGACUUUAUGUAUGUACAUAUGUAUGUAC
rnacentral:lncRNA from 1 species